rnacentral:rRNA from 1 species
UAGGGAAUCUUCCACAAUGGACGCAAGUCUGAUGGAGCAACGCCGCGUGAGUGAAGAAGGUUUUCGGAUCGUAAAGCUCUGUUGUUGGUAAGAGAAGGAUAGAGGCAGUAACUGGUCUUUAUUUGACGGUAAUCAACCAGAAAGUCACGGCUAACUACGUGUCAG